CUUCGAAUGGUACAUUUGCUGGCAGGAAAUUUUUUUCAUGUUCCCAGGUGGCAAGGAUUCUUUCAUGUUCCCUUAUAUUUGAAAACUGGUAUUAGCGUUUACUUCUCGGACUCAGACCAAUUCCCCCUUACCUGUCAGAGAACAUCUAGCAAUAAAUGCUGACAAAGCUACAUAGCAAAGGGCAAACCUGUCACUUCCCUUUCAGAAACCUGUUUAUGCACCCUCCUGCAAUCCCACCACCUGCCCAGGCCAAGUGAGCCCCUCUCCGCUACUGGUGUUUCAUAAUGCUGGGAGCUACUUUGAUUUCAUGCAUUGCCCUUCAGCUGCCAUGUUAUGAGGACACUUGGAGAAAGCUACAGGAGAGGAACUGAGGUCUCCUGCCAUCAGCCACUUGAGUGAGCAUGGGAGUGGAUUCUCCAAACUCCAGUUAAGACUUGAGAUGUCCACAGUGGCAGCCACUAGCUUGACUGCAACUUACGAGAGACCCUGAGCCAGAGGCACUCAGUUAAGUCAUACACAGUUUCCUGACCCGUAAAACCUGUGACACAAUGAAGGUUUGUUGUUUUGGGGGUAAUCCGUUAUUCAGCAAUAGAUAACGAAUACAGAAGGCUUGUAAUUGUAUAACCAACGUGAGUUUAUAAGCGGAUAUCUGACCUCAUUUGUUUUCUCCUGAAAAAGUUAUAGAAAAAUCACAAGACUGCAAGUCACUCUCUCUCUUUCUUUUGUGGGGAAUAAACAAGUAUAAUUACAAUUUCUAAACCUAUUGUUUUAUUCUCAAAUAUAAUUACAAUUUAAACAGGAUAUUGUAGAGCUCCAUCAUAGGGAUUAACACUAAUUAGAAUUAAAGAACGUUUUUGUGAAAGUCAGCUUUUUUUUUUUAAAUAAACACUCGUCCCUUGAUAAUGUAUUUCUUUUUCAUAAAAUUAAAAAAAAAAUGUGGGUUGUAGUAGGUGUAUAUAUUUAUGUGGUACAUGAGAUGUUUUGAUACAGGCAUGACGUGUAAUAAUCACAUCAUGGAAGAUGGCGUAUCCAUCCCCUCAAGCAUUUAUCCUUUGUGUUACAAACAAUCCAGUUACACUCUUUUUGUUAUUUAAAAAUGUACAAUUAAAUUAUUAUUGGCUAUAGUCACCCUGUUGUGCUAUCAAAUAUUAGGUCUUAUUCAUUCAUUUAACUAUUUUUUUGUACCUAUUUAUCAUCCCCAUCCCCGGUUCCCUCCCACCACCCACCCCACUACCCUUCCCGGCCUCUGGUAACCAUCCUUCUACUCUCUAGCUCCAUGAGCUCCAUUGUUUUGAUUUUUAGC
rnacentral:lncRNA from 10 species